CCUACGGGAGGCAGCAGUGGGGAAUAUUGCACAAUGGGGGAAACCCUGAUGCAGCGACGCCGCGUGAGCGAUGAAGUAUUUCGGUAUGUAAAGCUCUAUCAGCAGGGAAGAAAAUGACGGUACCUGACUGAGAAGCCCCGGCUAACUACGUGCCAGCAGCCGCUGGAAUACGUAGGGGGCAAGCGUUAUCCGGAUUUACUGGGUGUAAAGGGAGCGUAGACGGUCCUGCAAGCCAGAUGUGAAAGCCCGGGGCUCAACCCCGGGACUGCAUUUGGAACUGUAAGGCUAGAGUGUCGGAGAGGCAGGCGGAAUUCCUAGUGUAGCGGUGAAAUGCGUAGAUAUUAGGAGGAACACCAGUGGCGAAGGCGGCCUGCUGGACGAUGACUGACGUUGAGGCUCGAAAGCGUGGGGAGCAAACAGGAUUAGAUACCCGAGUAGUC
rnacentral:rRNA from 1 species